rnacentral:rRNA from 1 species
CAGGUGGUCAGGUAGAGAAUACCAAGGCGCUUGAGAGAACUCGGGUGAAGGAACUAGGCAAAAUGGUGCCGUAACUUCGGGAGAAGGCACGCUGAUAUGUAGGUGAAGCGACUUGCUCGUGGAGCUGAAAUCAGUCGAAGAUACCAGCUGGCUGCAACUGUUUAUUAAAAACACAGCACUGUGCAAACACGAAAGUGGACGUAUACGGUGUGACGCCUGCCCGGUGCCGGAAGGUUAAUUGAUGGGGUUAGCGGUAACGCGAAGCUCUUGAUCGAAGCCCCGGUAAACGGCGGCCGUAACUAUAACGGUCCUAAGGUAGCGAAAUUCCUUGUCGGGUAAGUUCCGACCUGCACGAAUGGCGUAAUGAUGGCCAGGCUGUCUCCACCCGAGACUCAGUGAAAUUGAACUCGCUGUGAAGAUGCAGUGUACCCGCGGCAAGACGGAAAGACCCCGUGAACCUUUACUAUAGCUUGACACUGAACAUUGAGCCUUGAUGUGUAGGAUAGGUGGGAGGCUUUGAAGUGUGGACGCCAGUCUGCAUGGAGCCGACCUUGAAAUACCACCCUUUAAUGUUUGAUGUUCUAACGUGGGCCCCUUACCGGGGUUGCGGACAGUGUCUGGUGGGUAGUUUGACUGGGGCGGUCUCCUCCUAAAGAGUAACGGAGGAGCACGAAGGUUGGCUAAUCCUGGUCGGACAUCAGGAGGUUAGUGCAAUGGCAUAAGCCAGCUUGACUGCGAGCGUGACGGCGCGAGCAGGUGCGAAAGCAGGUCAUAGUGAUCCGGUGGUUCUGAAUGGAAGGGCCAUCGCUCAACGGAUAAAAGGUACUCCGGGGAUAACAGGCUGAUACCGCCCAAGAGUUCAUAUCGACGGCGGUGUUUGGCACCUCGAUGUCGGCUCAUCACAUCCUGGGGCUGAAGUAGGUCCCAAGGGUAUGGCUGUUCGCCAUUUAAAGUGGUACGCGAGCUGGGUUUAGAACGUCGUGAGACAGUUCGGUCCCUAUCUGCCGUGGGCGCUGGAGAACUGAGGGGGGCUGCUCCUAGUACGAGAGGACCGGAGUGGACGCAUCACUGGUGUUCGGGUUGUCAUGCCAAUGGCACUGCCCGGUAGCUAAAUGCGGAAGAGAUAAGUGCUGAAAGCAUCUAAGCACGAAACUUGCCCCGAGAUGAGUUCUCCCUGAGACUUAGAGUCUCCUGAAGGAACGUUGAAGACGACGACGUUGAUAGGCCGGGUGUGUAAGCGCAGCGAUGCGUUGAGCUAACCGGUACUAAUGAACCGUGAGGCUUAACCUUACAA